CACGUGGAUAACCUACCUAUAAGACUGGGAUAACUUCGGGAAACCGGAGCUAAUACCGGAUAAUAUAUUGAACCGCAUGGUUCAAUAGUGAAAGACGGUUUUGCUGUCACUUAUAGAUGGAUCCGCGCCGCAUUAGCUAGUUGGUAAGGUAACGGCUUACCAAGGCAACGAUGCGUAGCCGACCUGAGAGGGUGAUCGGCCACACUGGAACUGAGACACGGUCCAGACUCCUACGGGAGGCAGCAGUAGGGAAUCUUCCGCAAUGGGCGAAAGCCUGACGGAGCAACGCCGCGUGAGUGAUGAAGGUCUUCGGAUCGUAAAACUCUGUUAUUAGGGAAGAACAAAUGUGUAAGUAACUAUGCACGUCUUGACGGUACCUAAUACAGAAAGCCACGGCUAACUACGUGCCAGCAGCCGCGGUAAUACGUAGGUGGCAAGCGUUAUCCGGAAUUAUUGGGCGUAAAGCGCGCGUAGGCGGUUUUUUAAGUCUGAUGUGAAAGCCCACGGCUCAACCGUGGAGGGUCAUUGGAAACUGGAAAAGCUUGAGUGCAGAAGGAGGAAAGUGGAAUUUCCAUGUGUAGCGGUGAAAUGCGCAGAGAUAUGGAGGAACACCAGUGGCGAAAGGCGACUUUCUGGUCUAGUAACUGACGCUGAUGUGCGAAAGCGUGGGGAUCAAACAGGAUUAGAUACCCUGGUAGUCCACGCCGUAAACCAUGAGUGCUAAGUGUUAGGGGGUUUCCGCCCCUUAUUGCUGGAACUAACGCAAUAAGCACUCCUCCUGGGAAUAACAACCGCAAGGUCGGAAGCUCAAAGGAAUUGACGGGGACCCGCACAAGCGGUGGAGCAUGUGGUUUAAUUCGAAGCAACGCGAAGAACCUUACCAAAUCUUGACAUCCUCUGACCCCUCUAGAGAUAGAGUUUUCCCCUUCGGGGGACAGAGUGACAGGUGGUGCAUGGUUGUCGUCAGCUCGUGUCGUGAGAUGUUGGGUUAAGUCCCGCAACGAGCGCAACCCUUAAGCUUAGUUGCCAUCAUUAAGUUGGGCACUCUAAGUUGACUGCCGGUGACAAACCGGAGGAAGGUGGGGAUGACGUCAAAUCAUCAUGCCCCUUAUGAUUUGGGCUACACACGUGCUACAAUGGACAAUACAAAGGGCAGCGAAACCGCGAGGUCAAGCAAAUCCCAUAAAGUUGUUCUCAGUUCGGAUUGUAGUCUGCAACUCGACUAUAUGAAGCUGGAAUCGCUAGUAAUCGUAGAUCAGCAUGCUACGGUGAAUACGUUCCCGGGUUUUGUACACCCCGCCCGUCA
rnacentral:rRNA from 1 species